UAAUAAAAAAAUAUUUAAAAAAAAAAGUAAAUACACUGUAUGGAGAAUCUAGAAACACAUAGGUUUAAUUGUCACAUGACAGUGUUGACAUUGCAGAUCGCAGUACCACUCUCUAAAAUCCAGGAGUUCCAUAAGUUUCUUGACGAGGCUUUUCCCCUCCGAACAAAAACCUGACUUUUGAGGUAAGUUAAAUUUGGGGGGCUUGAGAGGGAAAGAUUUUUAGAAAUCCCUAUUUACCAGCUUGGAUGCACAACUAAACCAAAAAAAAACUACACAGCUUUUACUCAGUAAUAACGUUGAUGUUCUGGAAGCCAUUUGUUUUACUCAUAUGUUUUGUUCUUUAUUGACAGUAAAUCUAGGAAGGAAGAUGAUGUCACAUUUGUGAACUCCUCUAUAACUCCAGAAAUGAAUCUAGGAGACAUUUCCAUGGCAACUCCCAUAAGUACGAGCUUCCACAAAACAUCCUUGCCUGGGAACACCGAGUGUUAGUUAAGUGAUUUAGAUUCAUUAUCAACAAACCAUUACAAUUUCUUACUAUAUAUCAGGAAAUGUUUUAACUGUUAUAAAAAUGUUAGCUUCUUUAAUCUUCAAAACAAUGUUUUGUAUUAGGUAUUAGCCUGCUCUUUCUAGAGGAGGAAAUGGAGACACAAUUUCUUUCCAAACUCAUAUGUCCAUUAAGUAGGGAAAAUGGGAUUCAAAUCCACAUAGUCUGUCUCAAAGUCCACCCACUUAACCAAUUUUCAGCAUCUCACAUUUCUUUCCUUAGAUCUCUUUUUACCAAUAAAUUAAACCCUUUCUUAUUUUACUAUUAAUAAGAACCAGGAAGCAGAGAGCAUUUGUAUUCAAAACAACUGGUCUUUGUGUUACUAUAUUAUCUCUCCCAUCACAGUUCUAAUGAGUACUCUACUCCAUGAAAUGAUGGACACUAGCUGGACUUCAUUUUUUCCUGAUAGUAUUUAAGGUAGCAUUGUGUUUAGCAUGGGGAUGAAAGGGAGAGGUAGGUAAGUUUUGGAGACAUUGACCAGAUAACAGCAAGGUAAACAACAUGGUAAUGGAAAAAAAAAAAAACCAGAAUGACUUGCCAAUUCCUUACA